rnacentral:lncRNA from 1 species
GUGUAGUGACAUGGCCAAGGAGAAAUGCACCCCCUCUAACCCCUUGCCAACUACAGCAGGCAGGAGGGCUGGUCCCAACGUCAUCAGAGUGAAAUGUUUGGUCCUCUUACCUACUGCAGCACUUUUGAGAGCAGGCCCUGUACCUCUCCUGAGGAGUGGGCUCUGGGUGUGUGUCAGGGUACCAGUUAGCUGGCCUCCAAGGGCAUGAGAGCAGGAGAGCUGGUACGUUGAUCAGCUCAGAUAUCUCUCAGACCCUGGUUCAGGGCUUUGAGUUGGCUCACUCCAACAUCUACACCAUAGAUGAACCAGGAGUGCAUGAAGGGGACAAUCUUACAGAUCUAAAACUAUAGACUCUCCAUGACACUGGGUAACAAGAGAAUAUCUAACAGGAGUCCCAGUGAGCUUCCUGUAUUGAUAAAGUAGCAGAACCCAGAGGCCUCGUACCAGACCAGCCAGUCAUUGCAAUGAACAUUUGCAAGCAAAAAAAGUGUGGGUAAAGGAUGCACUGUGGGACACACUCGAGUUUCCACAACCAGGUAUUUUUCUCUGUUGGGGGGAGGUUGCAAGUGAUAAGAGUGGGUGUGAGGAGAGGGAGAGAUGAAUGGGAUUGGGGUACAUGAUGUGAAAUUCUUGAAGAACUGUUAAAAAGUAAACUCCCCUCUUUCUCAAAAACAGGAAAUGGAAAGAGAGAAGAAAAAGAGAAGGGAAAUAUGGAAGCAGAAAAGUGAACAGAGCUCGCCCGCUAAGCUGGCGCUGUGUUUGAGCAUGGGAGGAACAAAAGUAGAGCAAAGACAGCCAGAUAAGGAUCUGAAUGCAGUUUCGUGCUUGAUAGUUUUGGCCUCUUCUCUAGACAUUUCUUCCAAGCUUCCCAGAAGCCAGUCAUGCCAUUGGAUAGCCUUUUGUGAGAUUGGGUUGAAAAUGUUGAUCACAUCUUCAAAGAUCAGAUUGAAAACGCUGGUGGAUCAUAGAGGAUGGUCAUAUGUUGAGUAGUUCUUCUUGGCUUGCCUUCUAAAUGUUGUUCUCAUCUCUUGGGUGGUCCCUAGCAAGGUCAGAUUACAGGUUGUCUUAGUUAUGGUUUCUAUUGCUGUGAAGAGACACCAUGAUUAUGUCAAAUAUUAUAAGAGAAACAUUUAAUUAGGAAUGGCUUACAGUUUCAGAGGUUUAGUCCGUUAGCAUCAUGGCAAAAAGCAUGGUACACCUAGGUAGACAUGGUGAAGAAGAAGAGAGUUCUACAUCUUGAUCCACAGACAACAGAAGUGAAUGCCACACUAGACCUAGUUUGAACAUCUGAGACCUCAAAGCCCACCUCCACCUUCAAAAAGGCCAGCCCCUACUCCAACAAGGCCACAUCUUCUAAUAGUGUCAUGCCUUAUAGGGCAAGCAUUCAAAUGUGAAUUUGUGGGGAUCAUACCUAUUCAAACCGCCACAGAGGUGAUGAUCUGGUCUUCACAGGUAAGUCUGUGAUUACUGACCUGGCUCAUUAGCAAUUCUGUUUGAUGUAUGGCACAUUAGUUGGAAUCUGAAUAUUUUCUCCUACAGGCAUUGGCUUCCAUUGUGUUUUUUCCUCAGCAGUGUGCAGUUUCGACACACAUUUUUCUCUCACGGUCUCAAAAUCUUGUGGUGAGGCUGCAAUGAAUAGUCCUCUGAAACUGAUUAUGAUGUACCCACUGUGCGGUUUAUGAACAGUCUCCAGUAGUCAAGCCAAGAAGUAUAUUUUAUUUAAUAUUUCUCAUAUGCUAUAUUUUAAUCCUGCCUUUCCUCCCCCUGAAACUCCUCCUAGAUCCUUUCUACCCCCUUAUCCAUCCAACCUCAUGUUCUUCCCAACUCUUCUCAAAUAGAAAACAAAAACAAAGCAAUAUUGAAAAUCAAAACAAAAGCUGCCAAAACCAACCAACUAAACAACAAUUCCCCCCGCCCCCCAAGCCCAUAAAACCACCAAAGAGACUGCUUCAUGUUGAUCAACUACUCCUGGAUAUGGUGGCUGUCCGGGAGUGUGGUUGAUUUAUGUACUAAUAUCCCAUUGCAGAAAAGUUUUUUCCUUUUUCAGCAAGUAUCUUUUGCAAAGUGCUUCAUGAUUAUGGGUGCUACUUUGUGUCUGUUUCCCCUUUUCCAUCUAGUUUGAACUUGAGCAGGUCUUGGGAGAAUUGCUGUAGUCUCUGAGUUCAUGUGUGCAUCCGUCUUACGUCUAGAAAAAUACCGCUUCCUUGGAGUCAUCCGUCAACUGUGACUCAUCUUUCAGCUUCCUCUUCAUCAUAGAUCCCUGAGCCUUGAGGAGACAGGGCUUCAAGAAGACAUCCUAUUUAGUAUGAGUGCUCCAGAGUCUCUGAUUCUCUGCAUACUCUUUCCACACAGAGACACUGUUGGGGCUCAUCCCCAUCUACUCCAAGAAGCUUCUCUGACAAAGGUUCACUGAUGUCUUCUAUGGCUAGCACUAUGCAAUCAGAAGUCAUUUUAUUGCCAUGCUUCUUUAGAGUAAUAGUACUAUGCUUUUCAUGAAGCGUUAUUUUAAAAGUGGAAUCCUGCUGCUGUUUUGCUACCAGAAGGAGAGGGUUUACUUGGUGUCUCCCCUCCCUCUUCUGUAGCCAUGUGUAAGUUUUCCCCUGCCAUCCCUACACUUUUCCUUGCUCUUUAACAUCUCUGUAACUGAAAAUGUAUUGGAGGUGACCUGAGGCGUCUGUUGUGUCUACACUAGGGGGAUGGAGAGUUCCUCUGUGGCAGUCUGUCCAUGAUGUUCUCUGAGCUUCCUUCACUGUUUCAUACUCUCCCCUGUUUUACUUUGCUGCUAGCACUAGAGAUAUUCAGGUAUCACUCAGUUCUUAUUUUAGGUGAGUGGUAAGGAUCGUUGUUUUUUGUUUUUGUUUUUGUUUUUGUUUUUUUGAGUGUGCAAACCCAGUUUUCUGAGCCUCAGUUCUUGAGUGACUAUUUGUUCUCUAAUUCAUUUUUUUUGCAUUGUUGUCAAAAAUUAGGUGUUUGUGGCUUUCUUAUUUUAAUUUCAAGUACUCUGUUAUAGUUGUUUUUUAAAAAAUAAUAAUUGUAUAAUUAGUUAUACUAACCUAGGAGCUUUGUUUUAAAAGUGCACCUCAGGAUAAUUCCGAAUAGGGGAGCAAAUUCAUGUAAACAAAUCACAGACACUACGAUUGAGGCCAAUUUUAUAUUCCAAUUGUUAGCCAAAAUUUUUAUACUCCACAAAUAUUCUGUCCAAAGAAUUGAUAUAUUCUUUAGAUGGCAGACAUCGCCUGCACUGUUGGAGCCCAACCUAAGAAGCAUAUGAGAGAAUGGCUCUCAGGUGAUGCCCAUACUACCAUUUGGUGGCACACAGAUGAUUGAUCUCCAACAGAUUGUGACUAUGGAACUGCAAAGAAAAUCGAAGACUGCCUUAAUUUGCUAACCUUGAGACUCUGAAAUUAGUCUUGUGAAGAACUAUCCAGAUUGAGAAAGGGCAAAUUAACCAAUACUCUUGACUCUUACCAUGAAGACUUUUCUUGGCCCCCAGGGAGUACAAGUUGGGGUUUGUGGACCAGCGUUUGCAGUGUAUUCUGAUUUAUGUCAACUUCGGAAGGCUGGAGUUUCAUUGCUUAAGGAAGUCUAUCUCCCUUCAGGAUUCUACUGUGUCUUUCCUAUUGUAGCUGUGUAUUCAACCUUGCUCAGUUUUCAGCCCUGGCUGCCAGAGUCACUGGCCCCAGAUUAUAACAUAGUAUGCUUAAACUCACUUCACUGAAAGGGAAAGCUGAAACCCAGAAUGAUUAAAUGACUUGGCUAAGGUUAAAAAAUAGGUCAUCCCAAAUGUGACAUACAAACCAAUUCUUUUGAUCAUAUCUCACAGGCUUCAUUCCGUGUGACUGCACUAUCUCCAAGAAUCUGAUUUAAUCCUGCCUUUCUUCUUCAUAUUCUCUAGCAGGAUUGGGCCAUCAAUCAGUUUUCAGUGACAAGAAUGCCAUUUAUUCUUAUGUGAAGUACUGUCUUCUACUUUAAUACGUCUUAGGGGCUUUUUUUUUUUCUUUUCUUUUUUUGCCACUGAUUCUAUUUUUUUUUUUCCUGUAGUGAAUUCUCAGUUUUAUAUAAAUCUGUCCUCAAAGUCUUUCUACUUUAAUUUUUAUAUACCUGGUUAAAUAACUGUCUUAUGGCUCAUUUUACCUGGAGUUACUAUGACAUUUUAUUUCUCAUUCAUAAUGAAUUUCAGGAGAUAAGAGAGAGGUUAGCAAUUAAGAGCACCUGUUCUUGCAGAGGACUUGGGUUCAAUUCCCACCAGCCAUGCAUUGCCUAUAGCCCCAGUUUAAAGGGCUCUGAUGCUUUUUCUCAGCUCUGUGGGCACCAGGCAUGCAUGAGGUGCACAGACAUACAUGCAUAUAAGGCACACACAUAAAAUUAAAUAAACAUUAAAUUAUAAAAUGCAUUUCAUAAUUAUGCACUUCUUUUUCUAUUAGCACUAAUUUCUAACUUCUACAAAUUGCAUUAAAUAGCUUCAGCUAUUCCUGUCCAUCCUGUAUACCACAGAACUGGCUUUGUUUGUAUGUUGUUUUAUAUCUUUAUUUUUUUAAAUUUUAUUACAUAUUUUCUUUAUUUACAUUUCAAAUGUUACCCCCUUUUCUCUUUUCCCCUCCAAAAAUCCCCUAUCCCAGCCUGCCUCCCCACCCUCUCCUGCUUCCCUGUCCUGGCAUUCCCCUACACUGGGGCAUUGAGGCUUCUCAGGACCAAUUAUUUUUUGAUGCGUGUAUAUUAGUGGGUUUGCAUGUAGCACAGCACUUAGACAGAGGCCAGCAGGCAACUGGCAGGCUUCAGGUCUGCUCUUCCACAAUGUGGAUCCCUAGAAUCCAACUCAGGUUGUCAGGUUUGGCAUCAGGAACUUUUAUCUACUGAGCGAUCUUCCCAGCCCCAAAACUGCCUUUAAAAAACAAUUUAUUGCUUUGGAUUUUUCCUGAAAAGCCUAAGAUUGUGAAUAGUAAAGGGUAACUAGAAAGACCUGUAAGAUGGUUCAGUUGGUAAAGGUACUUGAUGCUUAAAGAGCCG